rnacentral:rRNA from 1 species
UGAACUUGAGAGUUUGAUCCUGGCUCAGAGCAAACGCUGGCGGCAUGCCUAACACAUGCAAGUCGCACGAACCUUUUAGGUUAGUGGCGGACGGGUGAGUAACGCGUAGGUAUCUAUCCAAUGGUGAGGAAUAACCUCGGGAAACUGAGGCUAAUACCGCAUGAUGCCUUAGGGCCAAAGACGCAAGUCGCCAAUGGAGGAGCCUGCGUUCGAUUAGUUAGUUGGUAAGGUAAAAGCUUACCAAGACUAUGAUCGAUAGCUGGUUUAAGAGGAUGAUCAGCCACACUGGGACUGAGACACGGCCCAGACUCCUACGGGAGGCAGCAGUGGGGAAUAUUGGACAAUGGGGGAAACCCUGAUCCAGCAAUGCCGCGUGUGUGAAGAAGGUCUUCGGAUUGUAAAGCACUUUCAUUGGG